rnacentral:sRNA from 12 species
GGACCGCUUCUCAUGGAAGAACCCGAAGGGUGAAAAGGCCAUACGGACAGCCGGGUCAUAAGCCGA